GGGGGAUAACACUUAGAAAUAGGUGCUAAUACCGCAUAACAACAGAAAGCGCAUGCUUUUUGUUUGAAAACCAAGGUGGUAUGGGAUGGACCCGCGUCUGAUUAGCUGGUUGGCGGGGUAAAGGCCCACCAAGGCGACGAUCAGUAGCCGGCCUGAGAGGGUGGACGGCCACAUUGGGACUGAGACACGGCCCAAACUCCUACGGGAGGCAGCAGUGGGGAAUAUUGCACAAUGGGGGAAACCCUGAUGCAGCGACGCCGCGUGAGUGAAGAAGUAAUUCGUUAUGUAAAGCUCUAUCAGCAGGGAAGAAAAUGACGGUACCUGAGUAAGAAGCCCCGGCUAACUACGUGCCAGCAGCCGCGGUAAUACGUAGGGGGCAAGCGUUAUCCGGAUUUACUGGGUGUAAAGGGAGCGUAGACGGCAGUGCAAGUCUGGAGUGAAAGGCGGGGGCUCAACCCCCGGACUGCUCUGGAAACUGUACGGCUGGAGUGCAGGAGAGGUAAGUGGAAUUCCUAGUGUAGCGGUGAAAUGCGUAGAUAUUAGGAGGAACACCAGUGGCGAAGGCGGCUUACUGGACUGUAACUGACGUUGAGGCUCGAAAGCGUGGGGAGCAGACAGGAUUAGAUACCCUGGUAGUCCACGCCGUAAAC
rnacentral:rRNA from 1 species